AUACCUGGAAGCUGUUGUAAGACUAAUACAUCUUCAAGCACAAAAGUUUAGAGAAGUAGUGCAGAAUUCACAAACAAACAAACCGUUCAAGUGAUCUUGCAGAUUCCCUCGUGGCAUAUAUUCAUAAACCAAGAACCUAUGCUUCCCAUCUGCACAAUAGCCUAUUAAAGAUACAAGAUUGGGAUGGUCCAAUCUGCUUAAGAUAUCAACUUCCACCCGGAAUUCGCGCUCCCCUUCUGCUGCUUUAAAUGACGGUGGAGCGCUGCCCUCAAUUUUCCAACAUUCCACUGGUUUAUACACCCCUGAAAAGGAAAAGCAGAAAUUAAAGAAUUGAUGGCCAAAAAAGCAAGUGAAUUGCAUGGGUGCAACAACUAAGUUGUAACGCAACAGGAGUAGAAGAACACGAGAUAUUAGAAACUGAAACAUACAAGGAUUGAUGUGAUCUUCAGACUUGCUUCUGCGGCGCUUAUUCCACGCUGAAACCAAACCGAACGGCAUGACAACUCUUGCUUAAGAUGAUCUCCAGUUUGUGGAUUGAAUAAAGCACGCAUUCAGUUGAAGAGUGAAGGGCUAUACUCAUGGCAGUCUAUGCUAUGCAACAGGAAAAGGAGAAUGAGAACUUACAAAGCUGGCUCACAAAAAUAUGGAGGAAGAGAAGUUAAGAUGAUGGUCAUUACCUCAUUAUAGACUGGUUGGUGUUGAACCGGAGUCGUGCUGAUUAUACAGAUUGAGAGAAUUGGAGAAGGAUAUUAAGUAUAAGCAGAAUUUGAUACUAUGUAGCAUCAGAAUCCUGUAGGAGUGCGUACAAAGCAACUGAACUGAGAGACUAGCUUUGAGAAAUACUCAAAAAAAUGUAGUAAUACCAAUCAGCCAACAACCUGCAAAUCUCACUUGAUGAA